AGGGAAACCGAGUCUUAACUGGGCGUUAAGUUGCAGGGUAUAGACCCGAAACCCGGUGAUCUAGCCAUGGGCAGGUUGAAGGUUGGGUAACACUAACUGGAGGACCGAACCGACUAAUGUUGAAAAAUUAGCGGAUGACUUGUGGCUGGGGGUGAAAGGCCAAUCAAACCGGGAGAUAGCUGGUUCUCCCCGAAAGCUAUUUAGGUAGCGCCUCGUGAACUCAUCUUCGGGGGUAGAGCACUGUUUCGGCUAGGGGGUCAUCCCGACUUACCAACCCGAUGCAAACUGCGAAUACCGAAGAAUGUUAUCACGGGAGACACACGGCGGGUGCUAACGUCCGUCGUGAAGAGGGAAACAACCCAGACCGCCAGCUAAGGUCCCAAAGUCACAGUUAAGUGGGAAACGAUGUGGGAAGGCUCAGACAGCCAGGAUGUUGGCUUAGAAGCAGCCAUCAUUUAAAGAAAGCGUAAUAGCUCACUGGUCGAGUCGGCCUGCGCGGAAGAUGUAACGGGGCUAAACUGUGCACCGAAGCUGCGGCAGCGACGCUUAUGCGUUGUUGGGUAGGGGAGCGUUCUGUAAGCCUGCGAAGGUGUCCUGUGAGGGAUGCUGGAGGUAUCAGAAGUGCGAAUGCUGACAUAAGUAACGAUAAUGCGGGUGAAAAGCCCGCUCGCCGGAAGACCAAGGGUUCCUGUCCAACGUUAAUCGGGGCAGGGUGAGUCGACCCCUAAGGCGAGGCCGAAAGGCGUAGUCGAUGGGAAACGGGUUAAUAUUCCCGUACUUGGUGUUACUGCGAAGGGGGGACGGAGAAGGCUAUGUUGGCCGGGCGACGGUUGUCCCGGUUUAAGCGUGUAGGCUGGUUUUCCAGGCAAAUCCGGAAAAUCAAGGCUGAGGCGUGAUGACGAGGCACUACGGUGCUGAAGCAACAAAUGCCCUGCUUCCAGGAAAAGCCUCUAAGCAUCAGGUAACAUCAAAUCGUACCCCAAACCGACACAGGUGGUCAGGUAGAGAAUACCAAGGCGCUUGAGAGAACUCGGGUGAAGGAACUAGGCAAAAUGGUGCCGUAACUUCGGGAGAAGGCACGCUGACACGUAGGUGAAGUGAUUUACUCAUGGAGCUGAAGUCAGUCGAAGAUACCAGCUGGCUGCAACUGUUUAUUAAAAACACAGCACUGUGCAAACACGAAAGUGGACGUAUACGGUGUGACGCCUGCCCGGUGCCGGAAGGUUAAUUGAUGGGGUCAGCGCAAGCGAAGCUCCUGAUCGAAGCCCCGGUAAACGGCGGCCGUAACUAUAACGGUCCUAAGGUAGCGAAAUUCCUUGUCGGGUAAGUUCCGACCUGCACGAAUGGCGUAAUGAUGGCCAGGCUGUCUCCACCCGAGACUCAGUGAAAUUGAACUCGCUGUGAAGAUGCAGUGUACCCGCGGCAAGACGGAAAGACCCCGUGAACCUUUACUAUAGCUUGACACUGAACAUUGAGCCUUGAUGUGUAGGAUAGGUGGGAGGCUUUGAAGUGUGGACGCCAGUCUGCAUGGAGCCGACCUUGAAAUACCACCCUUUAAUGUUUGAUGUUCUAACGUGGACCCGUGAUCCGGGUUGCGGACAGUGUCUGGUGGGUAGUUUGACUGGGGCGGUCUCCUCCUAAAGAGUAACGGAGGAGCACGAAGGUUGGCUAAUCCUGGUCGGACAUCAGGAGGUUAGUGCAAUGGCAUAAGCCAGCUUGACUGCGAGCGUGACGGCGCGAGCAGGUGCGAAAGCAGGUCAUAGUGAUCCGGUGGUUCUGAAUGGAAGGGCCAUCGCUCAACGGAUAAAAGGUACUCCGGGGAUAACAGGCUGAUACCGCCCAAGAGUUCAUAUCGACGGCGGUGUUUGGCACCUCGAUGUCGGCUCAUCACAUCCUGGGGCUGAAGUAGGUCCCAAGGGUAUGGCUGUUCGCCAUUUAAAGUGGUACGCGAGCUGGGUUUAGAACGUCGUGAGACAGUUCGGUCCCUAUCUGCCGUGGGCGCUGGAGAACUGAGGGGGGCUGCUCCUAGUACGAGAGGACCGGAGUGGACGCAUCACUGGUGUUCGGGUUGUCAUGCCAAUGGCACUGCCCGGUAGCUAAAUGCGGAAGAGAUAAGUGCUGAAAGCAUCUAAGCACGAAACUUGCCCCGA
rnacentral:rRNA from 1 species